AAAAGUACCUGGCAGGGGAGAUACCAUGAUCACGAAGGUGGUUUUCCCAGGGCAAGGCUUAUCCAUUGCACUCCAGAUGUGCUGACUCCUGCGAUUUCCCCAAACAUGGGAAACUCGACUGCAUAAUUUGUGGUAGUGGGGGACUCUGUUCGCGCUUUCCCCUG
rnacentral:snRNA from 1 species